rnacentral:rRNA from 1 species
AUGUCGUUGGUGGUGGACAUGAAGAAGAAGCUCGAGGAUGCUGAGCCGCUGGUGAAGGUGGAGAAAUGGCCCAAGCACUGCAUCUUCCGCGUCCCAUCGCGCCUCAAGAUGGUUGACGACAGCAUCUACAAGCCGCAAACAGUGUCUUUGGGCCCAUUCCACCAUGGCGACGAGGAGCUGAGACCCAUGGAGGAGCACAAGCUGAGGGCCAUCCGUCACCUCCUCUGCCGGGACAGCUGCAAGACCACCCUUGACGACAUCAUCGCCACAGUUGAGGAGGUGACCGAGGAGCUGGAGGACGCCUACAUGGACCUGGGAGACGAGUGGCGGGGUGAGGAGAACAGGGGUAAGUUCCUCGAGGUGAUGAUUACUGAUGGCUGCUUCCUGCUGGAGGUGACGAGGACAGCCUUAGGGGGGAUGUACAUUCCCAAGGACUAUGCGGUCGGCGACACCGUCUUCAGCUCGCACGGCAUCCAGCAAUUCAAGCCAUUCAUCCAGCGUGACAUGCUCCUGGUCGAAAACCAGCUGCCACUCAGGUUGCUUGAGAAGAUAGUGGCCGCAGAGAGCGGCACAUCUCCGGUAUGUAGGUUACUGACUGCUAGGGUAUAG